rnacentral:misc_RNA from 1 species
GAUGAAGAACGUAGCGAAAUGCGAUAAGUAAUGAGAAUUGCAGAAUUCAGUGAAACAUCGAAUCUUUGAACGCACCUUGCGCCCUUUGGCCAUUCCGAAGGGCAUGCCUGUUUGAGUAUCAUGAACACCUCAACUCUUUAUGGUUUUCCAUGAUGAGCUUGGACUCUGGGGGUUUUGCUGGCUCACAGUCGGCUCCUCUAAAAUGAAUCAGCUUACCAGUGUUUGGUGGGUAUCAUGGGUGUGAUAACUAUCUACGCUUGUGGUUUUUCCACCAGGUAACCUUCAGCAGUGGAGGUUCGCUGGAGCUCAUAGAUGUCUCUCCUCAGUGAGGACAGCCCUUUGAAUGUUUGAUCUCGAAUCAGGUAGGACUACCCGCUGAACUUAAGCAUAUCAAUAAGCGGAGGA